UACGAAGGGGGCAAGCGUUGUUCGGAAUUACUGGGCGUAAAGGGCGCGUAGGCGGCUUACCAAGUCAGGCGUGAAAUUCCCGGGCUCAACCUGGGGGCUGCGCUUGAUACUGGUGAGCUUGAAUGCGGGAGAGGAUAGUGGAAUUCCCAGUGUAGAGGUGAAAUUCGUAGAUAUUCGGAAGAACACCAGUGGCGAAGGCGACUUACUGGACACAUAUUGACGCUGAGGUGCGAAAGCGUGGGGAGCAAACAGG
rnacentral:rRNA from 1 species